rnacentral:rRNA from 1 species
GAUGAACGCUAGCUACAGGCUUAACACAUGCAAGUCGCGGGGCAGCAUGGGGGUUGCUUGCAAUCCCCGAUGGCGACCGGCGCACGGGUGAGUAACGCGUAUCCAACCUGCCCUUCACCACGGGAUAACCCGGCGAAAGUCGGACUAAUACCGUAUGUUGUCCAUUGACGGCAUCCGAUUUGGACGAAAGGUUUGGCGGUGAAGGAUGGGGAUGCGUCCGAUUAGCUGGACGGCGGGGUGACGGCCCACCGUGGCGACGAUCGGUAGGGGUUCUGAGAGGAAGGUCCCCCACACUGGAACUGAGACACGGUCCAGACUCCUACGGGAGGCAGCAGUGAGGAAUAUUGGUCAAUGGGCGUAAGCCUGAACCAGCCAAGUAGCGUGCAGGAUGACGGCCCUAUGGGUUGUAAACUGCUUUUAUGCGGGGAUAAAGUGGCCCACGUGUGGGUUUUUGCAGGUACCGCAUGAAUAAGGACCGGCCAAUUCCGUG